rnacentral:rRNA from 1 species
UACGAAGGGGGCUAGCGUUGUUCGGAUUUACUGGGCGUAAAGCGCUCGUAGGCGGCUUGUUAAGUCAGAGGUGAAAUCCUGGAGCUCAACUCCAGAACUGCCUUUGAUACUGGCGAGCUCGAGUAUAGCAGAGGUUGGUGGAACUCCGAGUGUAGAGGUGAAAUUCGUAGAUAUUCGGAAGAACACCAGUGGCGAAGGCGGCCAACUGGGCUAUUACUGACGCUGAGGAGCGAAAGCGUGGGGAGCAAACAGG